AUCUUCUUAGUUUAGUGUAAAAUGUAAUUUUGAAGUGAUUAAGAGAUUUAGAAGAUG
rnacentral:tRNA from 1 species